ACCGCACAAGAUCAAAGCCUCCACGUGGCGUGCGGUGGGCAACGAACGGAAUCUCCGUUCGGCUAAGUUUGAUU
rnacentral:ribozyme from 1 species